GACGAACGCUGGCGGCGUGCUUAACACAUGCAAGUCGAACGGAAAGGCCCUGCUUUUGUGGGGUGCUCGAGUGGCGAACGGGUGAGUAACACGUGAGUAACCUGCCCUUGACUUUGGGAUAACUUCAGGAAACUGGGGCUAAUACCGGAUAGGAGCUCCUGCUGCAUGGUGGGGGUUGGAAAGUUUCGGCGGUUGGGGAUGGACUCGCGGCUUAUCAGCUUGUUGGUGGGGUAGUGGCUUACCAAGGCUUUGACGGGUAGCCGGCCUGAGAGGGUGACCGGCCACAUUGGGACUGAGAUACGGCCCAGACUCCUACGGGAGGCAGCGGUGGGGAAUAUUGCACAAUGGGCGGAAGCCUGAUGCAGCAACGCCGCGUGCGGGAUGACGGCCUUCGGGUUGUAAACCGCUUUCGCCUGUGACGAAGCGUUAGUGACGGUAAUGGGUAAAGAAGCACCGGCUAACUACGUG
rnacentral:rRNA from 1 species